rnacentral:sRNA from 1 species
CAGUAGAUGCACCCUGAUCAAAUUCCCUUGGCGAAAGCUAGGGGAUUUUUUU